rnacentral:sRNA from 1 species
AACAAUUUUGCAUUGAUAUACUUGAUGGUUGAGCCCUAUUCCUGGAAGAAAGGAGGAUUAAAGCUAGAAACUUGCCCAUUAUUGCAGUAGCACAAGCUAUUGCUGCUUGUUGAUUACUGAGGCUUGAAGCUAGUGACUUCACUAGGGUGAAGAGGCUAGGACCAAAUAUUUAUUACAUACCAUCAUACUCUAUAAAUCCCUUUACCAGAGUAAAAUAUUUGACAAUUCUAAGUUGGGAUGAAAAGAUAUGGUGUGGUAUGGUCAAAGGCUACCGAUGUAGUUUGUUUUUUAAAAUUCCUGGUGCUUUCCUCUCUAAGCCAAGGAAAGAAAGACAAAACGAAAUCAGAACAGCUGUUCCAAUGCAAUAUUACAAAGCAGUAUGCCGAUUUUUUUGUUCUUUAUAUCUUAAGUGCUACAGCAAAGAGACUGAAAGAGAAGGACCAAAGGGAAGUAACCCUUGUGUUCCUUUUUAUGAUGUGAUAUUUUUUUGUUUUUUUCUGCCAUGGUUAAACAUCAUGGACAAUUUCAAAAAACAUGUACUACAUGCUGACUGUGAUUUUAAAGAAAUAUGUGUCACACAUGUGCAUGAGUUACAUUGCCAAAAAAUAUUAAUGUACACAGAAGAUAAAAAUCCAUUAUUCAUUUUUAAAACUUUCUGCAGAUAAAUUAAUGAUUAGAGAGCUGUUUAUUACAUAAUUGAAGCUACAUUUUGUAUUAUUUCAUGGAAUGCAAAUCUUUGAAGAAAGAAAAACAGAUUCUUUUACAUUCAUGUUAAUUAUCAUUAAGGUGAACUCUUUAUCUAGUCAUGUAAUGCAUUAUGUGUAUGUGUGUGUUGAUAUGAUGCAUGUGCACAACACACAUUGUGCAUCUAACUUCUAAAGAAAUGAAAUACAUGUACAUUCUAUUCAGAAGAGAAUAUGGAACAUGAUAAAAAAAAGAAUUGUAUGAAUGAAAUUCUUAUGAAAUGAAUUUAAAACAAUGUUUGUCUUUCACUGUGUAUUAUGAUGUCGGAUUUAUUUAUUCCCUGAUAGAACUUAUAUCGGCUUGGAUUUUGUUCAAACCCCAUCAUCUCAUUUGUUCCGUAAAAACUCUUUAAUUGAUUAAUUAAUCAUUAAUUAAUCAUUAAUUAAUUGUAGGCUUGUGCGAGGUGCUCACCUGUUUGGUAUGCUAGUCUUCAGAGUAGUGUGCAUUUGUUAUAAAUAAAAAAAGAGUGAGAGAAGGACAAAUGAGAGAGUGAAGAAUGAGGGGUGAGAUAUUGUCCAAAAAUUGUUUUGCUUGUCCUUGUGCUGUGUGGAAGGUGCUAAUAAGGUUAUUAGAAUUUGUGCAAUGUUACAAAAAAAGUGAUGAAAUUAUGAUGGAAUGAGGAUGUGGCCAAGUCUAUAUGUCAUUCAUUCAAAACUGCAUGUAUCAUGUAGCAAAUUCUUAAAGGGAUAAUUUGUCACAUUUAAAACCCUAUCAAGGUGCUAGUGAACACAUUUGAUAAAUAAAUAUUUAAUGUGUUGCAUUCUCUGAAAUCUCAUACAAAGGGAGACUACUUUUUUUUCCUCUCAAAAUUCUAAAAGAUAAAAUGUGUACAAUAUCAAUCUGCAGUCAAUUAAAUUAAAAGGGAAUCAACUAUUUCAGCUAAAUAAUUCAUUGCAUUGAAAAACAAUUAGAUUUUGAUUUUUGACCAACGAUUUAGGGUUUGUUUUUCAUCAGUUGCCUGUUUUACGGAGAUUUUGAUACAAUGAAUUUCUCACUUUAAUUGUUUUGUUCUCUAGAACAAGUUAUUGCCAAAUGAUACUGACCAAAAUACGGUUCUCCAUGUAUACAUUCAUAUUAUUUUAUAAUGAGGAUAUUGUAUGCAUUUGAAAGAUUUGUAAAUAAUUAUUAUCAUGUGAAAAAAAAUAAAUGAUAUAAACUUG